UUGUGCUUGCUUUUGUGUGCCCGCUUCUCGCUGGACUGCAAUGUACAGUGCUAGAAGGUAGAAAAUGGUUUGACCUCGGCUAGUGUGUCUGGUCAGUGGCUCAUUUAUAUUUUUGUGUGCUGCUCCGCGCCCUUGAAGCUGCUCUCAGCGCUACCGUUGCCACCACCAUUGGCGAUGCUGCAUUUUGUAAGGUUUCAAGUGCCCGUCCGCUCGAGGUUGGCUCUCAUUUGUCGGUAUUGUUUUGGGUCAGCUUACCCCACCUACGAGCAGCGGGUGCGUUCUUUCUUUUGCGCUUUUUUCCUGGCCCACUCGCCCUCUCUUCAGCUACUUUCGAGCAGCACAGCGAGAAAAAUGAGCGAGAAAGGUAGCGUUUUUCCGGUUCGAGAUAAGCUAACGGUGCGGUACGGUGUCCUGUUUUUGUGUGUGUGUCACUGUACCGGCCCCGGUCCGAGCAACUGUCAGCGAGCAAGGUCUUGUUUUGCGUUUUGUUUUUUGGGGUUACCCUGUGCUGUUUUUUGUUUGCGACAUCUUUUGCGUACGGACGGACGACAUCGGUUACACAGGGGGGAAAAUAAUUUAAAAUUUGUUAGAAUUUGUACAAAUAGUGUUGGCUACAUGUUCGCCACAUGGGUUCUGUGCCGAUGGGGGUGCAAUGGUGUGGAACGGUUGCUUUUGCAGAGAUUAGACGGACAUUGCCCGGGUGUAGCAGUACGGGUGAAUGGAAAAGUUCGCUGAUUCGCGCAGGGAUAAUGAUGUGUCGGAAACAUGAUGUAUAACAAGUAUCACGCGGUAAGAAGAAUUUAUGAACUGUUGGUAGAUGUUUGAUUGCAGCUUACUUUAAUGGUUUUUUAUCUGAACACGAUAGAUUUGUGGUAGUAUUAUUGUUAAUACAGUGAAAUCUCUUUAAGGUGAAUAUUCAAGAGACUUUCAGUUUAGAGAGAUACUCUUGUUACGCUUAUGAAAGUAUUCAGCCAAUGUCCCAAACUCGAUCGAAGAAGAAACGAUAGUUGCCGUUGCCUAGAUAUAACGGCUGCUUUAAUGUAUGUCAUGGGUAUCCGCAAGAUCUAUUAAGGAGAACAGGUCGAAGCACAUAGAGUAAAGUGACAAGAAGCGAUGGGAAAAUUUUGACAGUUAAAUUGAACAUUGUUUACAAACGUCGUUAGGCAAUCAUAGUACCCACAUACGUGUUUGUGCUAUUGAGAUUGUUGGUUGAGCCAGUAUAGUUUUCAUUGUGAUAUAUUCUAUAAAUUGUAAACGAGAAUAGUUUUCACAUUGUGCUACUGUUUUCUACUUCUUAUUGGUGUGUUUUUGUGAUUGUGUGUGUGUUACAGCAAUUUCAGCAGGAGAAUGUCUUCCUCGAAUGCCUGUUCAGCAUCCUUUUGCCAAAAUACAAGAUACUACGUAAAUUAGUAAAAAUGGUGACAAAAGAAUGAAAUAUAA